UAUUGCACAAUGGGGGAAACCCUGAUGCAGGGACGCCGCGUGAGUGAAGAAGUAUUUCGGUAUCUAAAGCUCUAUCAGCAGGGAAGAAAAUGACGGUACCUGAUUAAGAAGCCCCGGCUAACCACGUGCCAGCAGCCGCGGUAAUACGUAGGGGGCAAGCGUUAUCCGGAUUUACUGGGUGUAAAGGGAGCGUAGACGGCAGCACAAGUCUGGAGUGAAAUGCCGGGGCUUAACCCCGGAACUGCUUUGGAAACUGUGCAGCUAGAGUGCAGGAGAGGUAAGUGGAAUUCCUAGUGUAGCGGUGAAAUGCGUAGAUAUUAGGAGGGACACCAGUGGCGAAGGCGGCUUACUGGACUGUAACUGACGUUGAGGCUCGAAAGCGUAAGGAGCAAACGGG
rnacentral:rRNA from 1 species